rnacentral:rRNA from 1 species
UACGGAGGGGGCUAGCGUUGUUCGGAAUUACUGGGCGUAAAGCGCACGUAGGCGGCUUUGUAAGUUAGAGGUGAAAGCCCAGGGCUUAACCCUGGAAUUGCCUUUAAGACUGCAUCGCUAGAAUUGUGGAGAGGUAAGUGGAAUUCCGAGUGUAGAGGUGAAAAUUCGUAGAUAUUCGGAAGAACACCAGUGGCGAAGGCGACUUUACUGGAC